rnacentral:tRNA from 1 species
GCGCCCGUAGCUCAGCUGGAUAGAGUACCUGGCUACGAACCAGGUGGUCGGAGGUUCAAAUCCUUCCGGGCGCG